GUACUUGUAUUGGCAACACAUAUACUAAAACUAGAACAAUACAUAGAAGAUGAGCAUGGCCCUGUACAA
rnacentral:snRNA from 1 species